CAAAAAAUUUCCUACUCAUAAACUGAUUCUAAGUCAGAAAGCCUUCCCUCGAAAAAGAAGUCCUUACCAAAAAUUAAAAACUCUCCCUCAACCUAAACCCUCGAUCUCCGCAAAAAACCUCCAUCACCGAAAACCCACGAAAUACUCCAGCAAUUGAAACCCUACCUCCAUUAGAGAAAACCUCCACCUACAAAAUACUUCAGAAAUUGAAAUCCGACCUCUAUCAACAAAUUGAGGAUGAAAUUUCAACGAAAUUGCAGACACAAUCGGCACCGCACGAAGCCGUCGGCGAACCCUUCCAAAACCGUCUUCGUAGCGAUUGAAUACCGGGAACAAUCUCUGAGUUUUAUCGAAUUUUCUUCACUCGAGCAGUCGAUCUUGCCUUGUGCUUCUAAAUUGCUCAGGUCUAUAUUUGCUUACUGGAGUGUGGGUUCAAUGGGGGAACGAACAUGCCCUUGUUUUUCUAAGUUGCUCAUAGGGUUCUUCUUGAAGGUGAAGCCAAUCAAGCCAUCUCAUUUACACUAUAGUAGUAGACUUAAUUUACUUUAGCUCUUGCUGUGGUAGUAGUAGCCAUCUCAUAGGGGUCUGCUUGUUGUGGAAUGGAAAUUUACUUUAGCUCUUCCUGAUGCUGUCUAAUCUUAAUUUAAAAUUACUGAUCUUGUAAGAUGGACUUCAAAUUAUCGAGAAAGGUUAUGUACGUUUUACAGGUCAUAAUCUGAAGCUUUAGAGGUCCAUUUUUUUGUUUGGAGUACUGUGAAGUACUGAAGUCAUAUACUCAUUAGAUUUAAGAUGGUUAAGCAGCUCUGUAUCCAUGGAGUUUGGCAUCUUCUGGUUGUAGGAAAAUCGUUAAAUGACUCAAAUCCUAUUUCUUUUACACACCUACAGAUUCUGCAACAUAGUUUGGACCUUCCUUCUUACAAGAUGUAAUGCUCAAAUGUGUAUUAACUUUGACCAGAUACCACUGAUGAGCCAAUUUCUUUAAUAACAGGGAACGAUUCACCUGUCAAUGCCUUCUCAUCCACUUCACAUUUACCUUCCACAACAACUCCAUCAAUAGGAAUAACUUCACCUGCUUUGACUGCAAUAAUGGUUCCUAGAUUUGCAGUUGUGACAUCAACUUGUUUACCAGUUUCAGCCAUUGUUGCUUUCAGAGGUGUCAUGCUUGUCAGAGAUGACAUUACAGACAUAGUCUGUAUAUUCACAACAUGAACAAAUAUAAGGAGAAUCAACAAUCAAUAUGAAUAUGAUCUGAAAUUAAGGUGCAGAUUGGGGUUUGUAUAUAGGAAAGAAAUUGAUCAUACAUACCUUGUAACUAGCUCUUGAUUCGAGCCACUGAGCUAUGUUGUACAGGAAGACGAUAAUAGCUGCAUCUGUGUAGUCUUGUAGAGCUAUUUUUAGUGAUAUACUUCCUAAGAUGGUGAUAUACUUCCUAGCUUAUUCCCCAAUCUACCCAUAACUAAGAUACUAUCUAAAGUGCUCCUCUCCCUAAAUCAGUUCAUUGCACAUCAUUUCGUAUUAUUCAUCUACUUGUAAACUCCCAACACAUACCUAAAGGUUUUGAAACUUAGGCUUCUAGCUGAAGGUAAAUAGAGAAAAGGUGAUUAUUGUUUCAAUCAGGGCCAGCCCUUGGGCAAGGCAUAAGGGACAAUCGCCCUGGGCCCAAGGGAAAAAGCCCAAAAUUCACGCAAGCUAGUCUACCAGUUUAUUAAAAUAUCUAAUUUUCUUAUGUAAAUGAUAACAGAAUCCUAGGUGCGGCUCACUGGUCUAUGCCAAAAUUUCACACAGUAUAAGGGCUGGGAAUUCCCAUGUUCGACUCCAACACACACUGUUGUUUUUCAUUAAUUUAUUCACUUCAUUCACGUUUAUACCUGCUUGGAGUACCUUUUUUUUUCCAAACCUGCUGUAGAGUACUUAAUUUAAUUUUAUUUCAUUUUUAGUUUUUGUCAUUUCUAAUUUGGUUAUGUUGCAAAUACCUACCAUUUUUAUUACUCAUUUUUGUAUUAAACAUAACACCAAAAGAUAGUGAAUAAUUUUUCAUGCACAACUCUUACACUCCUAAUAUAUACUUCUUUUGGUAAUUUAAUUUUUCAAGUAUAUUUUUUUGUUUUGGUAAUUUAAUCACACUUCCUUUUAUAAUUUUGGAAUUUAGAAAAAAUAAUUGAAUUUCUAGAUAUAACAUAUGUAAUCAAAUUAAUUUAAUGUAUAGUUUGAAAAUUUGUCUACAGUACUUGUUAAAACUUUUGUACAAUCUGCUACUACGAACAUUAUUAUUUUUUCAGUACAUUUCUUUCAUUCAACUUUGCGAUCUGUAGAUGUCUUGUUGUUAACUUGUUAAUUUUCUGAUUUUAGUUUGAUAAUUAAUGUUUGAGAUAUAUUGUAAUUCAUGUUCGAUAGUACAAGAUCGAAGUUUUCAAGCCUUAUACUAGGUUGGUUUUUAAUAGAGUUAAAAAAUGAAAAAAAUUCUUCGGAGUGGUAUCAGAUCGCCUUUUUAAUAAAAAGCACACCCUAACUACAAGCAAAUUUUUAUUAUAAACCUUUAAAUAUAUAGGGCCCCAAAUUUUUUUCGCCCAUAGGCCACCAAAAAGUUGAGACCGGCCCUGGUUUCAAUCAGCAUUUUGUUGUCUCUCAUGACUUUGCGUAACUGGGAAUCUAGGAUGACUAGAUGUCACUCUUACUAAUUCUAUCAUAUCUUUCGUUAAUCAACGACAAACACCUUUCUUCACGAGGUGUCUCCAUCAACACAGCAGUGCACAAGUUAUGGAAGGAUUAAAUAGUUCUAAAUAUCAACCAAAAUCCAAGGGUAGUUUAGAGACUCUUCCUUUCCCUAAACCAAGGCUUCCUGCAUUCUUAGCAAACUCAGCAAAUACUACAAAUUCAAUAACUCGAACUUAGGUAGAGGGAUCAAAGAACAUGGUACUUUGGCAUGUUUAUGAGCUAAGUAGUGAAUUUCUGUGAUUUAAGCAGAAAAUGUAGAUCGUCAAGCAUGCAGCCAAACAAAUCAACAACAAUUUUCUAUACAGUAAUUUUAACUUUCUUUUUCAAUAUAGAACAAUUAGUCCCAGUCACACUUGGUUUGUUCUCCUAACAAGCAGAGUCUAUGUCCGUAUGACAGAAAACAAAACACCAACUAGCUUCCCUGAUGUAUCCUUAAAGCAACAACUAGUGUCUAGUAAUUAUUUAUUUGUUUACCAAUUAUUUGAAGCCUGGAAUGGUUUAUGGUUUACCAUAAUCUCUUUCUUGAUUGCUAGACCUAGGUUCAUGUUCAGUGAUCGAUACAUCAUUCACAGACCAAUGUGCUGACUUGCCAAGCCUGAUAGUUGGUCAGAAUGCGAUGAAACGUGUGUCAUCGUCUUACUUCUUUAGAGUACGAAGAAGUAUAUACUUGCCCCGAUCCGUCAAGAUAAAUAUUAUUGGAUGUUGGUUGUGAUUUGCCUUGAAAGAGGGGAAGCCUUUUUCUUUGAUUCCAUGGCUGAUGGGUCGUUAGACACUUUGCAAACCAAAGGCUCCUUGUCUGUGGCAUAUAGGACUCUAAUGAACAUGGACAAAGGAUCUCGGAAAACCAAGCUAACGUGGAAGGUGGUUGAGUGUCUUCGUUCUCAACAAGUUGGGGUAGUUGAGUCCGGCUAUUAUGUCAUGAAGUAUAUGGAUCAAAUAGUAUCACUUGUAUAAAAAAAGGAGCGUGAUUUUCAAAAGCAUUUUUCUCUGGAGGCAUAUACUCAAGAAGUUAUCGAUGAUGUUCGUGAAAGAUGGUGUAGAUUUUUCAUUGAUAAUUGUUUAUAUAGUUAAUUAAUCUCAGUUUGACACUUAGUUGACAUAAACUUCUUAAAUUCGUGUCCAGUAUUUUCCUAAUAUGUAAAUAUACAAAAGUAUUAUAUAUGACUUUAGCUUUUAUCAAUUUUGGAGAUUAUAUUGCAGUGGUUUGAAUUUUUAUGUA